AGAGUUUGAUCCUGGCUCAGGACGAACGCUGGCGGCACGCUUAACACAUGCAAGUCGAGCGAGAGAAGAGGAGCUUGCUUUUCUGAUCUAGUGGCGGACGGGUGAGUAACACGUGAGCAAUCUGCCUUUCAGAGGGGGAUACCGAUUGGAAACGAUCGUUAAUACCGCAUAACAUAAUUGAACCGCAUGAUUUGAUUAUCAAAGAUUUAUCGCUGAAAGAUGAGCUCGCGUCUGAUUAGCUAGUUGGUAAGGUAACGGCUUACCAAGGCGACGAUCAGUAGCCGGACUGAGAGGUUGAUCGGCCACAUUGGGACUGAGACACGGCCCAGACUCCUACGGGAGGCAGCAGUGGGGAAUAUUGCACAAUGGAGGAAACUCUGAUGCAGCGAUGCCGCGUGAGGGAAGAAGGUUUUAGGAUUGUAAACCUCUGUCUUCAGGGACGAAAAAAGACGGUACCUGAGGAGGAAGCUCCGGCUAACUACGUGCCAGCAGCCGCGGUAAUACGUAGGGAGCGAGCGUUGUCCGGAAUUACUGGGUGUAAAGGGAGCGUAGGCGGGAUCGCAAGUCAGAUGUGAAAACUAUGGGCUUAACCCAUAAACUGCAUUUGAAACUGUGGUUCUUGAGUGAAGUAGAGGUAAGCGGAAUUCCUAGUGUAGCGGUGAAAUGCGUAGAUAUUAGGAGGAACAUCAGUGGCGAAGGCGGCUUACUGGGCUUUAACUGACGCUGAGGCUCGAAAGCGUGGGGAGCAAACAGGAUUAGAUACCCUGGUAGUCCACGCCGUAAACGAUGAUUACUAGGUGUGGGGGGACUGACCCCUUCCGUGCCGCAGCAAACGCAAUAAGUAAUCCACCUGGGGAGUACGACCGCAAGGUCGAAACUCAAAGGAAUUGACGGGGGCCCGCACAAGCAGUGGAGUAUGUGGAUUAAUUCGAAGCAACGCGAAGAACCUUACCAGGUCUUGACAUCGUAUGCAUAGCUCAGAGAUGAGUGAAAUCUCUUCGGAGACAUAUAGACAGGUGGUGCAUGGUUGUCGUCAGCUCGUGUCGUGAGAUGUUGGGUUAAGUCCCGCAACGAGCGCAACCCUUACUGUUAGUUGCUACGCAAGAGCACUCUAGCAGGACUGCCGUUGACAAAACGGAGGAAGGUGGGGAUGACGUCAAAUCACCAUGCCCCUUAUGACCUGGGCCUCACACGUACUACAAUGGCUGUCAACAGAGGGAAGCAAAGCCGCGAGGUGGGGCGAACCCCUAAAAGCAGUCUUAGUUCGGAUUGUAGGCUGCAACCCGCCUACAUGAAGUCGGAAUUGCUAGUAAUCGCAGAUCAGCAUGCUGCGGUGAAUACGUUCCCGGGCCUUGUACACACCGCCCGUCACGCCAUGGGAGUCGGUAACACCCGAAGCCUGUAGUCGAA
rnacentral:rRNA from 1 species